rnacentral:misc_RNA from 1 species
AAGUCGUAACAAGGUUUCCGUAGGUGAACCUGCGGAAGGAUCAUUAUCGAGUUUUUUUUGAAACGGGUUGUCGCUGGCCUUUUCUUUCACAAGAAAAGGCAUGUGCACGCCUGGCUUCAUCAUCCACUCUUCAACCUCUGUGCAUUUUUUGUAGGAUUGGUUUUGAAGCAGGCGCAAGUCUGCAGAUGGCCUUUCCUAUGUUUUACUACAAACGCUUCAGUUAUAGAAUGUUUACUUGCGAAUAACCGCAUUUAUAUACAACUUUCAGCAACGGAUCUCUUGGCUCUC